rnacentral:lncRNA from 13 species
GUCCUGACUUGCAGUCUACACUUGUUCGAGAAACGUUACCACAAAUUGUGUUAGUGUGUCAACAAAUAACUGAAGCACAUGCCCAGUCAAGAAACCUUUCAAUUUUCCUCAUGGAUUAGAAUUGAUGGUAUGAAUUUUCCAGCGAAUGAGGAAGGACUGAAAGUGUGACAAACAAUAUGUAAACAAUACGUUUUUUGUGCAAUUCCAAUACCAUCUGUAACAAUAUAUAGAACAACUCAAAAAGGUCUGUGCAGCAUGCAAGUGACAGUGAUUCAUCGGUUACAUAAUUGAAAGGCCACAGAAUAAAAGGGAGCUGUCUAUCUUAAUGGGGCCAGCAACGAACAAGCCUGUCAAGUCGUGGGCACUAUCAGGUGAUGUCAGCAAAGUCAUGGGUUAACCUACAGUAAAAUCACGUAACCUCCGGCAAUGCUCCAUCAAGACUAAAAAGGAACACCAGUAGCUGCAGCACUUGAUCACACUGAAGGAAACCUUACCUCAUACAAGAAUUGGUCUACUAACUAAUAGUUACCUGCUAGGCUUUGAAAGUGAGUAUCUUAGAGUGUUUUCCAGGCAUGAAUCGCCUGUGAUUGGUUUAAUUCAAAUUCUACACACUGGGCACAGGCGUCAAUUCAACAUCUAUUUCACAUUGGUUCAACGUUAUUUCAUUGAAAUGACGUGGAAACAAUGUUGAUUCAACCGGUGUGUGCCCAGUGGGGAUUGAGUAUGUGGUAGUGACUGUACAGCAUGAGCAGAUUGCUCCCUGACUAGCAGUGUCUCAGUACACACAGGCAGGCACGCUUCACAGCUCCUCCCUCAGCUAGGGUGUGAUUAAAGCCAGUGCACACAGAGAGAGAGAGAAGGGUGGAGAGAUAGGGAGGGAGAAACACUCAAAGAGGGAGGGGCAGCUACUUGGUGGACUUUUGUGGUUCUUGCAGCAGCGUCACAGCUACUUGCUCUCGACAGUGUGGCAUCACUCUCAUAUUACACAAGGCGAAAAGCGCUCCAGCCAAAUACUACAGUAUGUAUGAUUGGAUUUAUUUCACAGACAUCCAUAAACCACUGGUAGUGUUUGGAGGAUCUGGACACUGGCCAGUGAUACAUGAAAGCUGUUUUACGUUUGCUUUGAAUGAAUAGAAGCGAGAGGAUGUGACAUAGAGAGACCAAGUUCUUGUGAGUUUGACUUUAAAAAUGCUGGUACAAAAUGUAUUUUUUUACCCUUAAUACAUGAAAAAUAUAUUUUCA